GGGGGGAAGAAGAAGUGUUAUUGUCAGACAACAGCAGACAGUGAUGAUGAAAUAGCCAGUAGCCUUCAUUGUAUCUCCUAAUACUUCAAAAGGAUUAUUGAUCAGAACGCAAUAAUUUUCAAGUAGAAAGGAAACUAAAUGGGCCAAAGCAAAAAAAAAAAAACCAAAAAAAAUAAAACAAACAAAAAAAACCAACCCUUUUCCUAACACGACUUAUAACUAUGGCUUCAAGAAGUGCUUGUAUGGUAUCCAUACUGAAGCUAUCCAUACUUAAAGUGUAUUUGAAACCUUUUAGAAACAUCACCACUAUUGACUUUCUAGACAAAAUUUUCCAGACUUAAAAAUUAAAGUUUUUAGCUAAUAAAAGUAUUAUACCAAUAAAAAAAAUCAGAAUUGUUAAAGUUAGACUUAUAAAAAUAAGCAUUUUUAUUUGCGGGCUCAAAUACCCCCUAUAAGCAUGACAUAUUAAGCAUAAAGAGUUUUUAAGGUUCAUCAAAUGUUUUUUGAUAAUGUGGGGGAAGUUGAGAGAGAAUCAUCUAAACACCAAACACUUAAGAUAUUAAUUUUAUUGAAAAAAAUCCUUGCAACUUUUAAGUUAGCUGAGACUUAAUUUUGGUGAAGACUUUAAUGUUUCAUGGAGAAAUGUUUGAGUGAAUUUACACUCCAGCAUUGACAGUGUUUACAGAACUUGUCUCCUAUCGAUGAUCCAUUGCGUAGCUGUCCAUACAGUGAACACUUUCAUUAGAGACUGGGUGCUCUGGCUUUUAGAGAUGGCUUUUAUGACUAUGUUGAAGUCACAGUCAUGUGUGGAUUGUAUCUGUUGAGAAUUGUACUUCCAUGGCAGUACUGAAAUGGAGGGAUGUGGGACCUUAAGUGAUGGGUAUAAACUAUUUAAGUAAUUAGACUUGUUGAAGUGAUUGAAGAAACAUUUGUGAUUAUUGUAACUUAAAUAAAAUUAUUAAAUAUUGUAACU
rnacentral:lncRNA from 1 species